rnacentral:lncRNA from 1 species
UGUAAAAAAAGUUGUCUAUGUCUAAAUCCCAUGGCUUGGGGCCGAGAACAAAGCAGAACAGGCCCAGGCAUGCAUGCCAGGGCAGGGCUGUUGUUAAGACAUUCCUAAGAACAGCUUGACCGUAAAGAUGAAAAGGAAUGCAAGGGCACAAGCAGGGCUAUCUUGUCUGAGUCAACACCAUCUGGCCGGAACCUCCCCUCUGUCUAUUGCCCCUUGAUGCUGGGUAAAGUCAUACAUCAACUGGUUGUUAUGUGAACAAAGAUAAGCCCCCAGCCCACAGGAACAAAGUCCUGAUGCCCUUUUGCUGACAUGUAAUCUUUCUGUUAAUGUUUAAAUGAGCCAAUCCCAUACCUUUGUUGAAAUUCCUCGCACCCCUAUCCCUUUUUCUCCAUAAAAACUCCUAGCUCUUGAGACUCGGGGUCGACUCCCCUGCCUCCUGUGUGAGGUACGAGUCGGCCCAAAGCUCUGCCAAUAAAGCCUCGUGUGUAUUGCAUCAAGAAGGAUUCUUGUGUGUUCAUCGGUGCACCCUGUCCCUGAACUGGAGUGGGGGUCCCCAUAUCGGGGGUCCUACACCACUUCCAAUGUACAUCUUCAAUAAAAGUUAUAUAUACACGACAUUAGGAUUUUAAAACAAACAGGACUAAGGGUUAGUUAAUGGCAGAGCACGCAGGACACAUGAGGUCUAGAAUUCCAUUUCCACUACUGCAAGAGGGAAGAGUUUUCUAAAAAUAACCAAUACUCUCCUAGAAGCAAACAUUCUGUGCCCAGUGUAACACAGGCUGCCUUAGCCUCCCAGAGGGUGUGCCAUCAUGCCCGACUUAUCCACAUGUGUCUAUUAGCAAGGAUACAAAACCAUAAAGAAAUGGAACUGAGAGAACUGAGUUAGCCUGAGUCAGGCUGACUCCAUGAUUGACUGUUUCCCAGAACUGGAAAAGUCCAAAAUGAGUCAUCUCCAGGAAAACUCACACCUCACUCACCAAUGAGGAGCCAUCAGAAGCUGCCCACUACCUAGCCUGAGCUGAUAAUUAAUCAGCAAAAGUCCCCCAAAUCCCCCAGAGCCUUAACCAAUCACAAAGGCACCGAUAACUCUGAGAUAGAGCCAAUCAAUCAAGGGCAAGAAAGGCUAACGUCAUUCACUACUACCCUAAAAGGCUUUAAAUUGGCCCUGCAAAGUCCAUAUCUCUGUCUUCCAUCCGAAGGGUAGACCCCUCCACGCUGGUUCGCUGCAGAAUAAAUAGUCUUUGCUGUUGCAUACUGUUUGAGUCUGGGGUAUCAUUCUUUGUGAAUCAUGGACCCUUUCAUUGCCAAGAUUAGAAGG